UUACUAGCUCUUGAAAUCUUCUAUAUUUGCAAAUGAAUGUAUUAGUGUAAAGGAAUUAGGACUAAGCUGUAUUCGUGAUAUCAGUGGAGAAACAAGAUUUAACAAGGAGAAAAUAAUCCAAGGACAAGGAGUAGAUGAACCUCUUUCAGAAACUGGAUUUAAACAAGCAGCAGCUGCUGGUAUAUUUCUGAAUAAUGUGAAGUUUACUCAUGCUUUCUCCAGUGAUCUCAUGAGGACAAAGCAGACCAUGCAUGGAAUUUUGGAGAGAAGCAAAUUUUGCAAAGAUAUGACGGUAAAGUAUGACUCAAGACUUCGGGAAAGGAAAUACGGGGUUGUAGAAGGCAAAGCGCUAAGUGAGCUGAGGGCCAUGGCCAAAGCAGCCAGGGAAGAGUGCCCUGUGUUUACACCGCCCGGAGGAGAGACGCUGGACCAGGUGAAAAUGCGUGGAAUAGACUUUUUUGAAUUUCUUUGUCAACUAAUCCUGAAAGAAGCGGAUCAAAAAGAACAGUUUUCCCAAGGAUCUCCAAGCA
rnacentral:lncRNA from 1 species